CGCUGGCGGAAUGCUUUACACAUGCAAGUCGAACGGCAGCACGGACUUCGGUCUGGUGGCGAGUGGCGAACGGGUGAGUAACAUAUCGGAACGUAUCCAAUAAUGGGGGAUAACUAAUCGAAAGGUUGGCUAAUACCGCAUACGCCCUACGGGGGAAAGCAGGGGAUCUUCGGACCUUGCGUUAAUGGAGCGGCCGAUAUCUGAUUAGCUAGUUGGUGGGGUAAAGGCCUACCAAGGCGACGAUCAGUAGCUGGUCUGAGAGGACGACCAGCCACACUGGAACUGAGACACGGUCCAGACUCCUACGGGAGGCAGCAGUGGGGAAUUUUGGACAAUGGGCGCAAGCCUGAUCCAGCCAUUCCGCGUGAGUGAAGAAGGCCUUCGGGUUGUAAAGCUCUUUCGCAAGGGAAGAAAACUUACCUUCUAAUAAAGGGUGAGGUUGACGGUACCUUGAUAAGAAGCACCGGCUAACUACGUGCCAGCAGCCGCGGUAAUACGUAGGGUGCGAGCGUUAAUCGGAAUUACUGGGC
rnacentral:rRNA from 1 species